GAUGAACGCUGGCGGCGUGCCUAACACAUGCAAGUCGAGCGAUUCUCUUCGGAGAAGAGCGGCGGACGGGUGAGUAACGCGUGGGUAACCUGCCCUGUACACACGGAUAACAUACCGAAAGGUAUGCUAAUACGAGAUAAUAUGCUUUUAUCGCAUGGUAGAAGUAUCAAAGCUUCGGCGGUACAGGAUGGACCCGCGUCUGAUUAGCUAGUUGGUAAGGUAACGGCUUACCAAGGCGACGAUCAGUAGCCGACCUGAGAGGGUGAUCGGCCACAUUGGAACUGAGACACGGUCCAAACUCCUACGGGAGGCAGCAGUGGGGAAUAUUGCACAAUGGGCGAAAGCCUGAUGCAGCAACGCCGCGUGAGCGAUGAAGGCCUUCAGGUCGUAAAGCUCUGUCCUCAAGGAAGAUAAUGACGGUACUUGAGGAGGAAGCCCCGGCUAACUACGUGCCAGCCGCCGCCGUAACAC
rnacentral:rRNA from 1 species